UACGUAGGGUGCGAGCGUUGUUCGGAAUUACUGGGCGUAAAGGGCUCGUAGGCGGCCAACUAAGUCGGAUGUGAAAUCCCCAGGCUUAACCUGGGAACUGCAUCCGAUACUGGAUGGCUUGAAUCCGGGAGAGGGAUGCAGAAUUCCAGGUGUAGCGGUGAAAUGCGUAGAUAUCUGGAGGAAUACCGGUGGCGAAGGCGGCAUCCUGGACCGGCAUUGACGCUGAUGAGCGAAAGCUAGGGGAGCAAACGGGG
rnacentral:rRNA from 1 species